rnacentral:rRNA from 1 species
UUAGAGCGUCGGGGGCACAAACCAGGGGGUGGCGACUGUUUACUAAAAACACAGGGCUCUGCGAAGUCGUAAGACGACGUAUAGGGUCUGACGCCUGCCCGGUGCCUGAAGGUUAAAAGGAGGGGUGAGAGCUCUGAAUUGAAGCCCAGGUAAACGGCGGCCGUAACUAUAACGGUCCUAAGGUAGCGAAAUUCCUUGUCGGGUAAGUUCCGACCUGCACGAAUGGCGUAACGACUUCCCCGCUGUCUCCAACAUAGACUCAGCGAAAUUGAAUUGCCUGUCAAGAUGCAGGCUUCCCGCGGUUAGACGGAAAGACCCCGUGCACCUUCACUACAGCUUCGCACUGGCAUCAGGCACAAUAUGUGCAGGAUAGGUGGUAGGCUUUGAAGCGGAACGCCAGUUUGCGUGGAGCCUCCCUUGAGAUACCACCCUUUUUUGCCUGAUGUCUAACCGCGGUCCGUUAUCCGGAUCCGGGACCCUGCGUGGUGGGUAGUUUGACUGGGGCGGUCGCCUCCUAAAGGUAACGGAGGCGCGCGAAGGUUGGCUCAGACCGGUCGGAAAUCGGUCGUUGAGUGCAAUGGCAGAAGCCAGCCUGACUGCGAGACUGACAAGUCGAGCAGAGCGAAAGUCGGCCAUAGUGAUCCGGUGGUCCCGAGUGGAAGGGCCAUCGCUCAACGGAUAAAAGGUACGCCGGGGAUAACAGGCUGAUACUGCCCAAGAGUCCAUAUCGACGGCAGUGUUUGGCACCUCGAUGUCGGCUCAUCUCAUCCUGGGGCUGGAGCAGGUCCCAAGGGUACGGCUGUUCGCCGUUUAAAGAGGUACGUGAGCUGGGUUUAGAACGUCGUGAGACAGUUCGGUCCCUAUCUGCCGUGGGUGUAGGAGAUUUGAGAAGAGUUGCCCCUAGUACGAGAGGACCGGGGUGAACGAUCCACUGGUGGACCAGUUGUUAUGCCAAUAGCAGUGCUGGGUAGCUAUGAUCGGACAGGAUAACCGCUGAAGGCAUCUAAGCGGGAAGCCCCCUUCAAAACAAGAUCUCCCUGAGGACCGUGGAAGACUACCACGUCGAUAGGCCAGAGGUGUAAGUGCAGCAAUGUACUCAGCUGACUGGUACUAAUGGUCCGAUAGGCUUGAUUUG